ensembl:miRNA
GACCCCCCCCGUCCCCGGGCUGGGCUGGGCUGGGGGGCAGGAGCCCUGGCUCUGAGACCCCCCCCGUCC